GAAGUUGCCUCGAGCCCCACCCCUUCCUUAUCCUUUCCUCCAAAAUUUCACAUCACACGCAACGCAACCUUCUCUCGUGACGCCGCCGCCGCCUCCUCUUCUCUCCCCCGAUUCUCCUCGCGACUGCUCCGAGCCCCUCCUCUUCCCUGUGUCGGCUGCUCGACGCGCCGCGCCACCACUGCGGGAGAAGGUGAACACGAGGAGAUGCAGGGUGGGUGGCCUCGCCGGAAGAGUGUGACGCCGGGAACCACCGGCUGGCCAAGGACCGUGUGGGCUGGCACUUCCCCGCGGCGCCCUCCUUCCCCGACUUCGCCGUCGCCACUGCCCCCUCCCCUCCUGUCGAGGCUGAGCGUGCACAGAGUGGACGAGUCGAUCGCGGCGGAACCAGAGUCACUCGAGGCCGGGGUGCCAGAUGACGUCCAGCAGACGGAGGGGUGGCCAUGGGAGGAGUAGCCCACAAUGAAAUCCAUUUUCUCUUUGUGUGUGUGUGUGUGUGUGUGUGUGUUGGAUUUGGAUCGAGGAAGGGGAUGGCGUGGGGAUGAGGAGGUGGACAGAGGAAGAGGGCGAUGCUGGCUGGCUGAGCGGGCGGAUUUGGAUCCAAGCGGCCCCUCGUGUGUUUGAUCUGUAGAGCGGCCAGAGGAGCAGGCCAACAUAACACCAACGUGCGCAAGGAAGAUGAGCUUCCAAAGUACAUCAUACGCGGUAUGUACAUUCCUGUCCCGACGCCGUGCCCGACGCGCUGGACUGGAGGCAUAGCGGCGCCGUCACCAUGGUCAAGCACCAGGGCAAGCGUGGUGCCAUGGAAGGACUAAACAAGAUCACGACAGGCUCUCUUCUCAGCCUUCCUGAGUAGAAACUAAUCAGUUGUGACAUAUCCCACAAUGCUGGUUGUGGCGGGUAGGCUCAGGAACUAUGCUUAUAAGUUUGUGAUUAAUAAUGGUGGGAGUGACACGAAGGAUGACUACCCGUUUGGUGAAUCAGAUGAAACAUGCAACAAAAACAAACUGAAAAAGCAUGUGGUAACAAUUGAUGGCUACUGAAGCGACGUCCUGCCGGUGUACAUCAGGGACGCCUGCACCAACGAUGACGCCUUCAAGGUGCUGUGGAAGUGAGGUCAGGGCAUGGGGAUCCGGGCAAGUGCGCCAAGGAGACCGACACGUCUUACCCGCUCAUGACCCAAGCAGUGAUUUUCCAUUGCCUCUAGAUGUAUCAUCGACCGUCGCCAGCCUCUGGUUUUAGACGUGAACGUGUAUGUACUAGUACUUCAUAUUGCUAUAUUUUGAUUUUGACGAAAUAACAUCACGUGGUACAAUCAAGAAAGUGGAAGGGGCGCAUCCUAUCUAGCACCGCCCCAGCUUCCUCUCAGGCGGCGCACCUGGGUGCGCCCCAACCACUAGUCAACAAGAAAGCCUACUUCUUCCUCAACAACGCCUUCAAUGUGGGCAUGCCCCCACGCCGACAUCGUCAUGUCCAGCCGAAGACAACAAGGACAAAGACUAUCAUCCUAGUUGUCAAGACCAACCAAUGAAGGCAAGUAUGAACAAGUUCAUCACUGCUAAGCCCGGAACAAGAGUUUUCACCCCGUACUUGAAACGGCACUCCAACACCAUCUCGAUGGUGGAUCUUCCGAUGGUUGCACCAGCUAUCCCUUCACGCUAGGCCGGAAUGGCGCUACCAGAUGGGUGAUACGUAAUCCCACCGUAGACCACCCCCACGGGAUUCGGAGGGCCUGCCCAUGAUGUGGCACGGAUUUGAUACAAUUGUGCCAACCAGCCUGUAGAGUUUACCAUGACCCCAAGGCUGCUACCCUGGCAUCGUUCUAUUUUGGCAAUUAGUUGUAUACCGAUUGUGAACCCUAAAAAUGUUUGAUGGACAGAAGUUCUUAAACUGCCUAUAUUAUGUGGACUAUAGGCAACCGAUUUCUCAUUACGGACAACCAUCUUCUGUCCUGAUCGAUUUAUAAGUAUCUAUGAGGCAUGGGUUACACCUUUUGA